AGAGUUUGAUCAUGGCUCAGAUUGAACGCUGGCGGCAUGCCUUACACAUGCAAGUCGAACGGCAGCGCGGGAGCAAUCCUGGCGGCGAGUGGCGAACGGGUGAGUAAUAUAUCGGAACGUGCCCAGUAGUGGGGGAUAGCCCGGCGAAAGCCGGAUUAAUACCGCAUACGACCUGAGGGUGAAAGCGGGGGAUCGCAAGACCUCGCGCUACUGGAGCGGCCGAUAUCAGAUUAGCUAGUUGGUGGGGUAAAGGCCUACCAAGGCAACGAUCUGUAGUUGGUCUGAGAGGACGACCAGCCACACUGGGACUGAGACACGGCCCAGACUCCUACGGGAGGCAGCAGUGGGGAAUUUUGGACAAUGGGCGCAAGCCUGAUCCAGCAAUGCCGCGUGCAGGAAGAAGGCCUUCGGGUUGUAAACUGCUUUUGUCAGGGAAGAAAUCUUCUGGGCUAAUACCCCGGGAGGAUGACGGUACCUGAAGAAUAAGCACCGGCUAACUACGUGCCAGCAGCCGCGGUAAUACGUAGGGUGCGAGCGUUAAUCGGAAUUACUGGGCGUAAAGCGUGCGCAGGCGGCUUUGCAAGACAGAGGUGAAAUCCCCGGGCUCAACCUGGGAACUGCCUUUGUGACUGCAAGGCUAGAGUACGGCAGAG
rnacentral:rRNA from 2 species